rnacentral:rRNA from 1 species
AGUGUCCUACGGGAGGCAGCAGUGGGGGAUAUUGCACAAUGGGGGGAACCCUGAUGCAGCGACGCCGCGUGGGUGAAGAAGCGCCUCGGCGCGUAAAGCCCUGUCAGCAGGGAAGAAAAUGACGGUACCUCUUGAAUAAGCCACGGCUAACUACGUGCCAGCAGCCGCGGUAAUACGUAGGUGGCAAGCGUUGUCCGGAUUUACUGGGUGUAAAGGGCGUGCAGCCGGGCUGACAAGUCAGAUGUGAAAUCCCGCGGCUCAACCGCGGAACUGCAUUUGAAACUGUCAGUCUUGAGUACCGGAGA